rnacentral:rRNA from 1 species
UACGAAGGGGGCUAGCGUUGCUCGGAAUCACUGGGCGUAAAGCGCACGUAGGCGGCCUCUUAAGUCGGUGGUGAAAUCCUGGAGCUCAACUCCAGAACUGCCUUUGAUACUGGAGAGCUUGAGUCCGGAAGAGGUGAGUGGAACUCCGAGUGUGGAGGUGAAAUUCGUAGAUAUUCGGAAGAACACCAGUGGCGAAGGCGGCUCACUGGUCCGGUAUUGACGCUGAAGCGCGAAAGCGUGGGGAGCGAACAGG